AACGAACGCUGGCGGCAUGCCUAACACAUGCAAGUCGAACGAGACCUUCGGGUCUAGUGGCGCACGGGUGCGUAACGCGUGGGAACCUGCCCUUAGGUUCGGAAUAACUCCCCGAAAGGGGUGCUAAUACCGGAUAAUGUCUUCGGACCAAAGAUUUAUCGCCUUUGGAUGGGCCCGCGUUUGAUUAGCUAGUUGGUAGGGUAAAAGCCUACCAAGGCGUCGAUGCGUAGCUGGUCUGAGAGGAUGAUCAGCAACACUGGGACUGAGACACGGCCCAGACUCCUAGGGGAGGCAGCAGGAGGGAAUCUUCCGCAAUGGGCGAAGGGGGGAAGGAGGAACGCCGCGGGAGUGAUGAAGGCCUUCGGACCGUAAAAGUGUGUAAUGAGGGAAGGAUAAAAAUGUAAGUAACCAGGCACGUAAAGAAGGUACCCAAGCAGAAAGACCCGGGUAAACACGUG
rnacentral:rRNA from 1 species